GACGAACGCUGGCGGUGCGCCUUAUGCAUGCAAGUCGAGCGAAGCUUUUCAGUAGUUUACUACAGAAAAUGACUGAGCGGCGAACGGGUGAGUAACGCGUGAGCAAUCUACCUUAGUUACAGGGAUAGCCCGAGGAAACUCGGAUUAAUACCUGAUAUUCUUUACAUUUCGCAAAAAAUCAAAAGGAAAGGUCAGCCGAACUAAGAUGAGCUCGCGUUCUAUCAGCUAGUUGGUGAGGUAAAAGCUCACCAAGGCAACGACGGAUAGCUGGUCUGAGAGGACGAUCAGCCACACUGGGACUGAGACACGGCCCAGACUCCUACGGGAGGCUGCAGCAGGGAAUAUUGCGCAAUGAGCGAAAGCUUGACGCAGCGACACCGCGUGUGGGAUGACGGAUCUAGGUUUGUAAACCACUUUCAGGAGGGAAGAAAAUGACGG
rnacentral:rRNA from 1 species